rnacentral:lncRNA from 1 species
UUUAUUCUUUAUAACUUGAUAUGUUAUAAACAUUAUUUAUUAUCUACUAAAUAGCAAAUACAAAUGAUAACUCUUCAUUGUUGAUGAAAGCCAUUUUUCGGGGGUACAGGAAAGGGCAUCUUAUAGAUUGGGAGAUGAGGAUUUUGAUGAUUGCCUAGAAGACUUUAUUUUGUAAUAAUCCUGAAGCAAAAUGGCAUGAAGCUCUGCUGACCUGUGAUAACUGUGUGUAUUUCCUUCCAGUGUCUCACCAACUGGCAGCCAUCCACUUCAGGUGUGCCCGUUGAAGGAUGCCACCUCGAAGGAGAUGGGACCAGCCUUGUGUUGGGGUGAGGAUUCUGGCCACUUGAUCUGGGCAGGAGUGCUCUGCUCAGAGUGCAGUGCUCAAUCUUACAAGCCUGGCUCGCCUGAACUGUGAAAGGUCAGCAGGACUAAGCUGAGCGCCAGGAUUCCAACUUCCCUUCUUCCGCCCCAGGUCUGGCAACUUGUAAAUGUGGAGGCUCUGCUAAGCACUGGGAUUUUAUUAAGGGCCUCGUUAAAAUUUACUAGAAUCAAAUAAAGAAAAGAUCCAGCCUUGGAAAUCAUUCUCCACGCUGUCUCUCCUUCUGACCUCUUCUCAACCCCCAUCCCCCACACCAUUUAUUCAUCCGUGAAACCUUUAACAACUGAACUAAUUCUGGAAAGUUGCCCAUAUCAGAUAUCUUCAGAAAUCACUUUGGAAAAUGCCUUUAGGAAGGUAGGACACCUCUUCCCAUUUGUCUUAUGAUGGCAGGUCCAGAGCUUACAUGAAGAGGCAGUGAGGCAAAGAUGUAAAGAAUAUGGACUCUUCAGUCAGACCUGGGAUGAACCCCGGCCAUUACCUACUCACGGAGGAGCCUGGGCCACUUAUCUAACCUCUCUGAGGCUCACUUUCUGCGUCUAUCAAAUGAGAAUAGCGCUACUAUCUGCUGUAUGAAACACUGACCGAGUUAAGCAAAAUAAUGCAGGUUAGCUGCUUAAUCCAGUGUCUAGCACAUAGCAAGUGCCAAAAAUGUGAGCGAUUAAAAGGGGUCUUUUACUAGCACUGGCCACAUCCCCAUCUUAUCGCUUUAUCUUCCAUUGAGCAGAGGUUCUGCCAGGUGCAGGGGACAAGGGAGAAGAAAAGACACGCACAUUCUCCUGGGCUUCAAAGUUGUCCCAUCCUUCUGUGAUGUCAUAAUCUGAGCCAUAGCCCACAAAUGUGAACUCCAACAACCCCCAAACCCAGUCCUCACCUCCCACAUGCUUUUCAUCACCCGCUCUCACAUCCCAUCUGGGGCCUCUGCUUCCAUCCUACCAUUUCGCAAGCCUGGCCAACUCAAGCUCCGUGUGCUGCACCUAGAGCAGCCCAUCUCUGUGUCAGGGAGGUGAGCUGCUCAGUUGCCAGAGUAUCAACCUGAGCCCAGGACACUGCCAGACUGCUGAGUCAAAGAGGGUUUAGCAGCCCAUUUUCAUAGACAGACAGGUGAGAGGAGGAUGCUGGACAUGGUCCCAGAGACAUGGGGACUCAAGAAACAUGAAGAUCUGUUCACAGCUAAGGGCACAUUUCCAUGCCGAGAAAUCAGGCGUGAGCGCAAGAGUCCUAUCGUCUACCAGAAAAAGAAAUCUUUGGGAGCAUUCAAGGAGGAAUGGCUUCAUGAUGGCAAUGAGCGGCAUCGCCUGAAAGACAGCCUUCGAGAGUCUCCCAGAGCCGCUGAGGAGCAAGGCAGAGAACUGCAAUCCAAGCAAAUGUGGUGGGUGUGAAGCUUUCAAGAAGUUGGGUCAAGAACAAGGACUGAAAGAGGAGCAUCAAUUUAUGGGGGCCACUGAGGCUUUCAGAGAUUUUGUGACCUACCAAACUGGCACAGCUAGUAAAUGGAUGACAAGCCAUUAACAUGGAAAGAAGAAGAGGCAUCCAAAGUGUUGGGUCCGCAUCGCCCUUGCCUUGGAGGAAGCUCCAAAUAGAGGGAAGGAUGGUUUCCAGCAGUCCCUGAAGUGCCUUUCCUCCUUCGUGGGAUCCAGUUACACCCAGCAGACUUCAGUUUGAAUAAACAGAACUAGAUGAAUACACCUAGGGAAUCUGUGAGGCCAGCCUCAGCUUUUAACAUCCAGCUACAGGGAGAGGUGUACAGUGACUUGCCCAAAGUCAAACAGCUUGUAAACUGCAGACCCAGGAGCCAAACCACAGCAAGCUCUUCCAUCCUACAGGAAGCAUUCUCUGCCUAAUUAAGAAGAGUUUGUGGCCUACACUUCAUGUUCCCAUAGCACCUGCCUACUCCAUGUGAGGAGGACAAGGAUGAAGACCUUUAUGGUGAUCCAUUUCCAUUUAAUGAAUUGCAGAGAAAAUGUCAAGUUCAUCAGCUGAAACGAAAACUCCCACUGUCCAGGCUAAGAGACCAGGGUCAGGGAUGGGAUCCCAAACUUUGAGGUGGAAGAUGGAGAAAGGGUGGG